rfam:TPA: Bos taurus chromosome 3, whole genome shotgun sequence.
UCCCCGGUGGUCCAGUGGUUAGGACUCUGCUCUUUCACUGUAGGAGGCACAGGUUCAAUCCCUGAUUGAGGAA